rnacentral:rRNA from 1 species
UACGGGGGGGCAAGCGUUGUUCGGAAUUACUGGGCGUAAAGGCUCGUAGGUGGCCAACUAAGUCGGACGUGAAAUCCCUCGGCUUAACCGGGGAACUGCGUCCGAUACUGGAUGGCUUGAGUUUGGGAGAGGGAUGCGGAAUUCCAGGUGUAGCGGUGAAAUGCGUAGAUAUCUGGAGGAACACCGGUGGCGAAGGCGGCAUCCUGGACCAACACUGACACUGAGGAGCGAAAAGCCAGGGGAGCAAACGGG